rnacentral:lncRNA from 1 species
GUGAGAAGAAGGUAAGAGACUGUGUGAAACAGAUGGAGAAAUACAUUGGAAGGUAGCUUUGGGACGAUGAGAAAGAGGAAAGGGAAAGAGUGAGAUCAUUGCCCUGGAGAUUAAAGAGCAAUUCAAGACCUCUUCCUAUCAGUGAGGAUUAGGAUGGCAGGGGAAUGCUCUUAUAGGUUGCUUAUACGUUGCUAUUUAUUUGUCUGGAUUUUUGUUUGUUUAUUUGUUUGUUUGAAUAUAUAAUAGUCAAUAAUCUUUUGUAGAGAAUAGGCAAUAAACAUCUAUGGCUUUAAAAACCAGAACACAGGCGAACUAACACUGACUUUUUUUUUUCACCUUUGUGAUUUUUUUAAAGACAAAUCACUAGAAAUGUUGGCCCUGACUGCCGAUUCACAGCUUUUGACUGCAUGAUUAUUGAUAGGAAUUCCAGUAUGAUGGACCAGCCACAGCUGUAUUUCACAGGGUUGUUUUCUGUGCUGACUCAGUGUGCCCAGCUGAAGGAAUAGAAUGGAGGAAGCUUUAUGUUGGGUAAGUAAGGAGACAUUUAAGUCAGCCCUGCCUCUGAGACAGAUGUAGCCACAGUAUUAGAGGAAGACACCCAGCACUGCGUGCCUGCACUGGUGGAAUUUACCAAGAAAUUUAGACUGUCUUGUGGUGGACAGUUAUAAUCUGGCUUGAUUGAAGAAGUGCUUCAGAUUGGAAAAAUAUUUAUAAAACACUGAGAAAACUGUGAUAACUCUGAUUGCUCAGAAGAAAAUUGCAAUUAUUUCCUCCAUUAUUUAUUAAUCCUUAAGCUCCUCCAAGAUAUCUAU